rnacentral:rRNA from 1 species
UUGGAGGGCAAGUCUGGUGCCAGCAGCCGCGGUAAUUCCAGCUCCAAUAGCGUAUAUUAAAGUUGUUGCAGUUAAAAAGCUCGUAGUUGAAUUUCGGGAUCAGAGUGUCGGUCGUGCCUCGGUACGCACUGGCAUUAUUGGUUCCUACCUUCUGAAGAACCGCGAUGUCAUUAAUUUGGUGUCGUGGGGAAUCAGGACUGUUACUUUGAAAAAAUUAGAGUGUUUAAAGCAGGCUUACGCUUGAAUACAUUAGCAUGGAAUAAUGAAAUAGGACGUUUGAUUCUAUUUUGUUGGUUUCUAGGAUUGACGUAAUGAUUAAUAGGGAUAGUUGGGGGCAUUAGUAUUCAAUUGUCAGAGGUGAAAUUCUUGGAUUUAUUAAAGACUAACUACUGCGAAAGCAUUUGCCAAGGAUGUUUUCAUUAAUCAAGAACGAAAGUUAGGGGAUCGAAGACGACCAGAUACCGUCGUAGUCUUAACCAUAAACUAUGCCGACUAGGGAUCGGAUGAUGUUAAUUUUUUAAUGACUCAUUCGGCGCCUUACGGGAAACCAAAGUGUUUGGGUUC